CAUGGCUUCAACUCCUCCUCCACCUCCCUCAGCAAAGGCAGGCGCCGUGAUUCCCUUUCUGAUUUUGAACCACCAUGAAAGGGGCCUCCAAUUGACCAGAGGAAUCUUCAACUCACCUAGAGCAAAGGUUCAGAAGAUGAAAGGGCUUUCACCUCAGCAAAGUGGAACUGAUAUUGUGGGAGAGUUAUUGAGUAAUAGACCCUCAUCCUCACAUCAAACAUCCCUAACCUUGCCAGACACCAGCCUCUCCCAGACAGCUCACUGAAGAAGAGGUCCAACCAAGACCAUGGCUGGAACCUGGAUGCUCUGAACAGGUGAUGGCAACAAUGAGGUCUCUGGGGAGGAGUAAGGAUAUGUGUGUGUGUGUGUGUGUGUGUGUGUGUGUGUGUGUGUGUGUGUGAAGUGGGUGGGGGGGGGAGAGAGAGAAUAUGAAUGAAGACUCUGGAAAAAUAUACCUUUUGAAAAAGCCACAGGCCAGGUGCGGUGGCUCACACCUGUAAUCCCAGCACUUUGGGAGGGAGGCCGAGGCGGGUGGAUCACGAGGUCAGGAGAUCGAGACCAUCUUGGCUAACAUGAUGAAAUGCUGUCUCUCCUAAAAAUACAAAAAAAUUGGCCGGGCGUGGUUGUGGGUGCCUGUAGUCCCAGCUACUCGAGAGGCUGAGACAGGACAAUGGCAUGAACCCAGGAGGUAGAGCUUGCAGUGAGCCGAGAUCCCACCACUGCACUCCAGCUUGGGCAACAGAGUGAGACUCCAUCUCAAAAAAAAGAAAAAGCCAGAAUUCUGUGUUCACAGAAUCUUAUUUUGCCUCUGAACACUGUUAUUCCCUGACUGGUGGUGGAGUGGCAAUCCUGAUGGAAGGACCUACAGGACCAGAAGGAGCCAUAUUCAUGUGCCACCUCAGAAACCUCUGUCGCUGCUCGCCCAUUCUACCUUUAGCUCUCCAAUGUGAUCACUGACUUAAAAGUCAAAGGGCAGACAAAUGCUUCAAAUAAAACUAGAUAACAG
rnacentral:lncRNA from 10 species